GCAUGUUACACGCAGCUGACGGCAGCCGGGAGCUUGCUCCUGGUGGUGAGUGGCGAACGGGUGAGUAAUGCGUCGGAACGUGCCGAGUAAUGGGGGAUAACGCAGCGAAAGUUGUGCUAAUACCGCAUACGCCCUGAGGGGGAAAGUGGGGGAUCGCAAGACCUCACGUUAUUCGAGCGGCCGACGUCUGAUUAGCUAGUUGGUGGGGUAAAGGCCCACCAAGGCGACGAUCAGUAGCGGGUCUGAGAGGAUGAUCCGCCACACUGGGACUGAGACACGGCCCAGACUCCUACGGGAGGCAGCAGUGGGGAAUUUUGGACAAUGGGGGCAACCCUGAUCCAGCCAUUCCGCGUGAGUGAAGAAGGCCUUCGGGUUGUAAAGCUCUUUCAGCUGGAGUGAAACGGUGCGCUCUAACAUAGCGCGCUAAUGACGGUACCAGCAGAAGAAGCACCGGCUAACUACGUGCCAGCAGGCCCGGCGGUAAUACGUAGGGUGCGAGCGUUAAUCGGAAUUACUGGGCGUAAAGCGUGCGCAGGCGGAUUGUUAAGCAAGAUGUGAAAUCCCCGGGCUUAACCUGGGAAUGGCAUUUUGAACUGGCAGUCUAGAGUGCGUCAGAGGGGGGUGGAAUUCCACGUGUAGCAGUGAAAUGCGUAGAGAUGUGGAGGAACACCGAUGGCGAAGGCAGCCCCCUGGGAUGACACUGACGCUCAUGUACGAAAGCGUGGGUAGCAAACAGGAUUAGAUACCCUGGUAGUCCACGCCCUAAACGAUGUCAACUGGUUGUUGGGGGAGUGAAAUCCCUUAGUAACGAAGCUAACGCGUGAAGUUGACCGCCUGGGGAGUACGGUCGCAAGAUUAAAACUCAAAGGGAAUUGACGGGACCCGCACAAGCGGUGGAUGAUGUGGAUUAAUUCGAUGCAACGCGAAAAACCUUACCUACCCUGACAUGUCCAGAACCUGAAGAGAUUUGGGGUGCUACAAGGAGUUGUAACACAGUCGCAUUACACGCUGUCUUCGAAACUCCU
rnacentral:rRNA from 1 species